rnacentral:rRNA from 1 species
CCCUUAGAUGUUCUGGGCUGCACGCGUGCUACACUGAUAUUGCCAAUAUGUCAUUCUUAUCCGAAAUGGAUUGGGUAAUCAAGUAAUGAAAUUUCAUGCUUGGAAUCGGUAAUUGCAAUUUUAUCGUGAACGAGGUAUUCCUAGUAAGCACUAGUCAUCAGCUAAUGUUGAUUAUGUCCCUGCCCUUUGUACACACCGCCCGUCGCUACUACUGAUUGGGUGUUCAAGUGAGAUGCUUAGACCCUUGUUGCAUGGUUCAUUAUUGUGCUCCGAAAGGAAAAAGUUUCAAGCUUGAGUGUCUAGAGGAAGUAAAAGUCGUAACA